rnacentral:tRNA from 1 species
AGGAAAAUCCGUCGACUUUAGAAAUCGUGAGGGUUCAAGUCCCUCUAUC